ensembl:lncRNA
GCUAUUUAUGGCUCGGGCGCCAUCUUGAGAAGGUCAGUGUCGCGAGUAAUGUGUCCUUCACCAUUUUGAGACGGUCAGAGGGUACCCAGAAGGGAAGCUAAUUGCUAAGGCCAUCUUGAAAAAGGCAGAAGGAACAUCAGUGAUGUACUCACUGCCGUCAAAGCAAGGAAGGGGCUGGCUCUGCAGGAGAGACGACCUGUAGACCCAAUUCUGGAAUGCUUGGGAAUGCCAAAGCUGGAAGCUGAAUUCCAGGGCAGGUGGAAAUUGUAAUUUCUCUCAUAUCAAGACAAAGUUGCCACACAUGCCACCUUGACUUAGAAGUCCAAAUAAAGAAAAUGAUAUCCAACACUGUUCUGGUGUAUGCAUCACUAACCUAACCUGGGCAAAAUUGCUGAGAAGCAAUUACCUCUGAGUUCUCCAUUUUACAGGUGAGGAGGCUCAGAGAGGUUAAGCG